rnacentral:lncRNA from 1 species
GUGUAGAACCCUUUUCUCAGGCAAAACCUAACAUCUGACCGCACCCUUUUUGCUAUUAAAAAAAAAAAAAAAAAAAAAAGCUUCUAUUUUUUUCCUCCUGUCGUUAAGAUAAAUUCUCCAGUAGACAACCUCUCCCACUAAUUGUGUAUUAGCAACGUAUUUUAUCUUGAGAGCUUGUACACUGGGCUCUCAACGUGGUGUGGAAGGUAGCCUGUUACAGUGCUGGAUUCAUAAAAGGGCCUUUAUGGUUUGUGAAAGAAUAUCUGUGUGCUUAGGGAGGAAACUUUUUGAUCUGCAGAAAAGCCAGAAGACAUCUAGGACAUCCAUAAAAAUUCAUCAGAGAGCAUUUUACUACUGAGCUGCAAAGGUAGGAAAAAUAAAUUUUUUUUGGUUAGAAAAUAUACUUCUUUCAUCUGCGUUUCAAUAAUUUAUUCCCCUUGUUAGAUAUACAUAGAAUUGAUAUUGCUUAUUCUGACUAAGUGAAAAGUGUUAUUUCUACUUACUGCUCAAUUAGAAACAUGUAGUGUUUAAUUGUCAGUUUGAAUUUUUCUUUCAUACUAUUACAGUUUAUAUUUUACUAUAGACAGAAUUUCCUCUUUCUCCUAAAUUUUGAUAUUCUCCAUAAUUUCAUCGUGCCUUGACAUUGCUGAAUAUAAUUUCUAUACAUCAGGAAGGCAAUUCUGUGUGCGUGUGUGUGUAUAUAUAUAGUUAGAAGUUAGAAA